rnacentral:rRNA from 1 species
UACAGACGGCGCAAGCGUUAUCCGGAAUGAUUGGGCGUAAAGCGUCUGUAGGUGGCUUUGUAAGUCCGCCGUCAAAUCCCAGGGCUCAACCCUGGACAGGCGGUGGAAACUACCAAGCUGGAGUACGGUAGGGGCAGAGGGAAUUUCCGGUGGAGCGGUGAAAUGCGUAGAGAUUGGAAAGAACACCGAUGGCGAAGGCACUUUACUGGGCUAUUACUAACACUCAGAGACGAAAGCUAGGGUAGCAAAUGGG